rnacentral:rRNA from 1 species
UACGGAGGAUGCGAGCGUUAUCCGGAUUUAUUGGGUUUAAAGGGUGCGUAGGCGGUAUUUUAAGUUAGUGGUUAAACGUCGGGGCUUCACCUUGAUUUGCCAUUAAUACUGUAAGACUCGAGUUCAGACGAGGUAGGCGGAAUAAGUUAAGUAGCGGUGAAAUGCUUAGAUAUAACUUAGAACUCCGAUAGCGAAGGCAGCGUACCGGCUCCACACUGACGCUGAGGCACGAAGGCGUGGGGAUCAAACAGG